ensembl:snRNA Rnu6-136 RNA, U6 small nuclear 136
CUCCUCCCUCCCAGCACAGAGACUAAAACUGGAACAACACAGAGAAGGUUAGCAUGGCCCCUGUGCAAGGAUGACACACAAAUACAAGAAGCAUUCUGCAUUUAA